GGCGGCUAGGGAUUGCGCUCAUCACCAUCUACUGGUUCCUGCUAGUUUCUUUGCUUCAUCCCGUCUGGAGCAGAUCCUGUUUUGGUCCGCAGGGUUGUGACCAGAAAACAAGUCCUGUUGGUCUCCCACCUCAAUCUGACGGAUAUUAUUUUGACACAGUGUUACAUUUCUGGUUCCAGCUAAGAAAGGUGAUGAAAAGUUGCUUUUUAGACAAAAUAAGCCCUUACCCUCAAAGGAAAGUUGCUCCUGAAAUACAAGCAGAAAUCAGUGAUGGAGUCUCACUCUAUCACCCAGCCUGGAGUGCAGUGGCGCGAUCUCAGCUCAACACAACCUCUGCCUCCUGGGUUCAAGCCAUUCUCCUGCCUCAGCCUCUGGAGUAGCUGGGAUUACAGGAGUCCUGGUUGCUUCCUCUGCAAAUCGGUGAUGGCUUAUACAAAGAACAGUAUUAAAGACUCCGCGGCUGGACGCGGUGGGUCGCGCCUGUAAUCCCAGCACUUUGGGAGACCGAGGUGAGUGGAUCGCCUGAGGUCAGGAGUUCAAGACCAGCCUGGCCAACAUGGUGAAACCCCGACUCUGCUAAAAAUACAAAAAAUUACCCCGGGGCGUGGUGGCAGACAACUGUAAUCCCAGCUACUCGAGAGGCUGAGGCAGGAGAAUAGCUUGAACCCAGGAGGCGGAGGUUGCACUGAGCCGAGAUCACGCCACUGCACUCCAGCCUGGGCAACAAGAACAAAACUCCAUCUCAAUAAAUAAAUAAAUAAAUAAAGAUUCUGCUAACCUGUGGCGGGUCUGUUUGGGUCCCUGUGUAUUCUUUCCUAGGAAAAGCAUGAGGAUUAGGGUUGGGCCAUAGGGUCUCAUUCCUCCAAGAGUAAUGGAACACCAGCUGCAGCAGCUCCAGUCUGUAGCAAGGGUUCAGAACUUGUCCAUGACAAGGUCUCAAAACCCAUCUUUCAAGAAAAGCCAGGCUUGGCCCGUGGCUCUGCCUGCCCAUACAUUAUUAUCAUCUGCCAAAUACAAUAUAGUAGUUGAUCAGGGGACAACUUCCAGGAAAACACAGCUGCAAGUCUCUCUGAUAUUUCAUGGUUCUUCACCACUAGAGAGUCCCAGAGGUGAAAGCUCUGAGGCAGGCUUCCCCACUUUCCAGGUAACUGCUAUUUCUGGGAACUUUUAGUAUACCCCACCUAGUGUACAGGAACACAAAGGGAAGCUGCUACUUUGAGCAAAGCAUCCCUG
rnacentral:lncRNA from 1 species